rnacentral:rRNA from 1 species
AUUGAACGCUGGCGGCAUGCUUUACACAUGCAAGUCGAACGGUAACAGGGAGCUUGCUCCGCUGACGAGUGGCGAACGGGUGAGUAAUAUAUCGGAACGUACCCAAGAGUGGGGGAUAACGUAGCGAAAGUUACGCUAAUACCGCAUACGAUCUAAGGAUGAAAGCAGGUGACCUUCGGGCCUUGUGCUCCUGGAGCGGCCGAUAUCUGAUUAGCUAGUUGGUGAGGUAAAGGCUCACCAAGGCGACGAUCAGUAGCUGGUCUGAGAGGACGACCAGCCACACUGGAACUGAGACACGGUCCAGACUCCUAGGGGAGGCAGCAGUGGGGAAUUUUGGACAAUGGGCGCAAGCCUGAUCCAGCAAUGCCGCGUGAGUGAAGAAGGCCUUCGGGUUGUAAAGCUCUUUUGUCAGGGAAGAAACGGGAUUGGCUAAUAUCCAGUCCUAAUGACGGUACCUGAAGAAUAAGCACCGGCUAACUACGUG